rnacentral:rRNA from 1 species
AUGGAUCCGAUUAAGCCUUGGGUGGGGCUAGGGAACCCAUAUGACAGUGCUGACCGCGACAUCUUUGCGGCUGCUACCAAAGUGGAGAUUGGUGAUGGCCUUCGUGCUUCUUUCUGGGAGUCUGCCUGGCUUGGGGGGCUGAGGCCCAAAGAUAUUGCUCCCCACAUAUUCUUGCUGUCCAUAAGAAAGAACUGCUCGGUCCAAAAGGCGAUACACAACAACUUUUGGGUCUCCCAAAUUAACAUCAACGCGGGCAUCUCCGUUCAUCAUCUAACUGAGUUCGUCAAUCUAUGGGAAAAGCUCUGCCCCAUUCACCUCAACCCGGAGAGGACGGAUACCAUCUCCUGGAAGCUAACGAAUGAUGGCCACUACUCCGCCGCAUCGGCAUAUGAGGUCCAGUUUAGGAGCUUAGUUGACACGGAGCAUGUGCAAACGGUCUGGAAGAAUUGGGCUCCUCCAAAAUGCAAGUUUUUCGAUUGGCUUGUCAUCAACAACAGGGUUUGGACGGCAGACCGGCUGCAGCGUCGUGGAUGGCCUAAUUGCAACCUUUGCCCCCUUUGUAAACAAGUCCAAAAAUCAUCGGCACGCCUUCUCUUCCAAUGCAGAUACACAGCUAGAAUUUGGGAUUUGAUCAAGGUUUAGCUUGGCCUUCAUGACGUGAACCUCGUGGAGUGGGGUCACAUGAAUUCAGUUAAAGAUUGGUGGAGCCUUAACGCAACCAGGAAGACGCAGUCCAAAAAGCCGCUCAUCUCCCUCAUGCUACUCGUUUCGUGGGAAAUUUGGAAGGAACGGAACGCAAGGGUCUUCCGCAACUUGGCGGUGCCAGUUGGUAUUAUUGUUCCUAGGAUCAAAGAAUAG